UAGGGAAUCUUCGGCAAUGGACGCAAGUCUGACCGAGCAACGCCGCGUGAGUGAAGAAGGUUUUCGGAUCGUAAAACUCUGUUGUUAGAGAAGAACAAGGAUGAGAGUAGAAUGUUCAUCCCUUGACGGUAUCUAACCAGAAAGCCACGGCUAACUACGUGCCAGCAGCCGCGGUAAUACGUAGGUGGCAAGCGUUGUCCGGAUUUAUUGGGCGUAAAGCGAGCGCAGGCGGUUUCUUAAGUCUGAUGUGAAAGCCCCCGGCUCAACCGGGGAGGGGCAUUGGAAACUGGGAAGCUUGAGUGCAGAAGAGGGGAGUGGAAUUCCAGGUGUAGCGGUGAAAUGCGUAGAUAUAUGGAGGAACACCAGUGGCGAAGGCGGCUUCCUGGUCUGUAACUGACGCUGAGGCUCGAAAGCGUGGGGAGCAAACAGG
rnacentral:rRNA from 1 species